rnacentral:tRNA from 1 species
GCUGCGAUGUCCGAGUGAUUAAGGAGAUUGACUAGAAAUCAAUUGGGCUCUGCCCGCGCAGGUUCGAAUCCCUCUCGCUGCG